GGAGAGGUGGCCGAGUGGUUGAAGGCGCACGCCCGGAAAGCGUGUGGCGGUCGAAAGGCUGCUCCAGGGUUCGAAUCCCUGCCUCUCCGCCA
rnacentral:tRNA from 1 species